CCGUCCAGUCCGGUGUGAGUCGCACACAAACCCGGAGCUGCGACAGCUGGAGAAUGGACCGUGAGUGACGGGGCAACGAGCCAAUCGGAGGAAGGAGCGCGAGAGAGGGCGGGGCGUGGAGUGAGGCGAGGUUCUCUGUGGCGAAAGAAGCUUCUUCAGAUUAGAAAACGUUAUUGCACCUCUACUGGAGAAAUCACUGGGUCACUACUUCUGUAGCAUCUGCUGUUUGUCUAAAGAAGAGAGGGACGACAUUGCCAAAAAUAAGACCAUCAACCUCACCCUUGCUGAGCAGGAGGAAAGAAAUAAAGUUGCUUUUAUAAGGCACGGCAGAAAGUAGAAAGACAAUGUUUAUGGAGCAGCUGAGGAUGAUUCAUGGAAGCGGAUACAAAUGCCAUGAAGACGCUAAAGAUCCCAUACUCCAACCCGCAGAACGAGAUCCAUAUGAAAGAGUUUGUCUCUGUUCUUCAACAUGGUCAUCAAUUCACUAGGGUUCACCAAUUCCUCCAUCAUCCUCUACCUGAACAAAAUGGACAUCCUGGCUGAGAAGAUUGAAUUCUCUGAUCUAAAAACAUACUUUCCUGAAUUUGAAGGUAUAGGUGCACAUACUGGUAAGUGCCGAAUUACAUGUGUGACCUCUAGUUUGACACCUGAUUUGCUUAUCCAUCUGUUUUCUUUUGUGAUUUAGCGCCACCUUCAGGCAAGCUUGGGGACGUCCAUAAUGCCAUGCUGUUCAUCAGAAAUGUAUUUACGCAAAAAAUGGUUUUACUAUUACUUAUUUAGUACUAACAUUUUGUAUAUUCUAAAAUGAAUAAUGCAAUAAUAACACGGUGUCAUAGAUCACUAUAAUAUGAGUGUACACUGUAAUUUUGAUUAUACAGUGUUGUAAAUAAAAUACAAAUAAUUGAAAAGACCCAACCUUUCUU